GACGAACGCUGGCGGCGUGCUUAACACAUGCAAGUCGAACGGUAAGGCCCUUCGGGGUACACGAGUGGCGAACGGGUGAGUAACACGUGGGUGAUCUGCCCUGCACUUCGGGAUAAGCCUGGGAAACUGGGUCUAAUACCGGAUAGGACCACUGCCUGCAUGGGUGGUGGUGGAAAGCUUUUGCGGUGUGGGAUGGGCCCGCGGCCUAUCAGCUUGUUGGUGGGGUGAUGGCCUACCAAGGCGACGACGGGUAGCGGGGCUGAGAGGGUGACCGGCCGCACUGGGGCCGCGAGACGGCCCAGGGUCUUACGGGGGGCAGCAGUGGGGAAUAUUGCACAAUGGGCGCAAGCCUGAUGGAGCGACGCCGGGUGAGGGAUGACGGCCUUCGGGUUGUAAACCUCUUUCAGCACCGACGAAGCGCAAGUGACGGUAGGUGCAGAAGAAGGACCGGCCAACUACGUGCCAGCCGCCGCCGUAA
rnacentral:rRNA from 1 species